UAAGGAAUAUUGCUCAAUGGCCGAAAGGCUGAAGCAGCAACGCCGCGUGAGGGAUGAAUGGCUUUUGCUUGUAAACCUCUGUAACAGGGGAAAAACCUCCAUUCUAUGGAGCAUGAUGGUACCCUGAAAGUAAGCCUCGGCUAACUACGUGCCAGCAGCCGCGGUAAUACGUAGGAGGCAAACGUUGUCCGGAUUUACUGGGUGUAAAGGGUGCUCAGGCGGUCUUGUUAGUUAGAAGUGAAAUCCCGGAGCUUAACUCCGGAACUGCUUUUAAUACUGCAAGGCUUGAGUGCAGAAGAGGCGGAUGGAAUUUCUGGUGUAGCAGUGAAAUGCGUAGAUAUCAGAAAGAACACCAGUGGCGAAGGCGGUCCGCUGGUCUGUCACUGACGCUAAAGCACGAAAGCGUGGGGAGCAAACAGGAUUAGAUACCCUGGUAGUCCACGCCUUAAACGAUGAAUACUAGACGUUGGGGUAAAACUCAGUGUCGCAGCUAACG
rnacentral:rRNA from 1 species